ensembl:snoRNA SNORD11B small nucleolar RNA, C/D box 11B
UGACAGUUGUGAUGAUGAUGACAUGUCGUUUUUACCCUGAAACAAGUCAUGUGGGUUUUCAGUCACUACCUCUUCUGAACAGUCA